CCUACGGGAGGCAGCAGUGGGGAAUUUUGGACAAUGGGGGCAACCCUGAUCCAGCCAUGCCGCGUGAGUGAAGAAGGCCUUCGGGUUGUAAAGCUCUUUCAGCCGGGAAGAAAAUGCAUGGGUUAAUACCCUGUGCAGAUGACGGUACCGGA
rnacentral:rRNA from 1 species